rnacentral:tRNA from 2 species
GCCGAGGUGGCGGAAUUGGUAGACGCGCUAGCUUGAGGGGCUAGUGGCCUCCGGGCUGUGCGGGUUCGAGUCCCGCCCUCGGCA